AACGAACGCUGGCGGCAGGCCUAACACAUGCAAGUCGAGCGAAGCCUUCGGGCUUAGCGGCGGACGGGUGAGUAACGCGUGGGAACGUGCCCUUUGGUACGGAAUAGCCCCGGGGAACUGGGAGUAAUACCGUAUGUGGUCGAGAGACGAAAGAUUUAUCGCCAAAGGAUCGGCCCGCGUUGGAUUAGGUAGUUGGUGGGGUAAUGGCCUACCAAGCCGACGAUCCAUAGCUGGUUUGAGAGGAUGAUCAGCCACAGUGGGACUGAGACACGGCCCAGACUCCUACGGGAGGCAGCAGUGGGGAAUCUUAGACAAUGGGGGAAACCCUGAUCUAGCCAUGCCGCGUGAUCGAUGAAGGCCUUAGGGUUGUAAAGAUCUUUCAGUGGGGAAGAUAAUGACUGUACCCACAGAAGAAGCCCCGGCUAACUCCGUGCCAGCCGCCGCGGUAAGAC
rnacentral:rRNA from 1 species